rnacentral:rRNA from 1 species
UACGUAGGGGGCAAGCGUUGUCCGGAAUCAUUGGGCGUAAAGCGCGCGUAGGCGGCCCGGUAAGUCCGCUGUGAAAGUCCAGGGCUCAACCCUGGAAAGCCGGUGGAUACUGUCGGGCUAGAGUCCGGAAGAGGCGAGUGGAAUUCCUGGUGUAGCGGUGGAAUGCGCAGAUAUCAGGAGGAACACCAAUAGCGAAGGCAGCUUGCUGGGACGGUACUGACGCUAAGGCGCGAAAGCGUGGGGAGCGAACAGG